AAAGCUUUUGUGGUUUUGGAUGGACUCGCGGCCUAUCAGCUUGUUGGUGGGGUAAUGGCCUACCAAGGCGACGACGGGUAGCCGGCCUGAGAGGGUGACCGGCCACACUGGGACUGAGACACGGCCCAGACUCCUACGGGAGGCAGCAGUGGGGAAUAUUGCACAAUGGGCGCAAGCCUGAUGCAGCGACGCCGCGUGAGGGAUGAAGGCCUUCGGGUUGUAAACCUCUUUCAGUAGGGAAGAAGCCUGGCCUUCGGGGUUGGUGACGGUACCUGCAGAAGAAGCGCCGGCUAACUACGUGCCAGCAGCCGCGGUAAUACGUAGGGCGCAAGCGUUAUCCGGAAUUAUUGGGCGUAAAGAGCUCGUAGGCGGUUUGUCGCGUCUGCCGUGAAAGUCCGGGGCUUAACUCCGGGAUCUGCGGUGGGUACGGGCAGACUAGAGUGCAGUAGGGGAGACUGGAAUUCCUGGUGUAGCGGUGAAAUGCGCAGAUAUCAGGAGGAACACCGAUGGCGAAGGCAGGUCUCUGGGCUGUAACUGACGCUGUGGAGCGAAAGCAUGGGGAGCGAACAGGAUUAGAUACCCUGGUAGUCCAUGCCGUAAACGUUGGGCACUAGGUGUGGGGGACAUUCCACGUUUUCCGCGCCGUAGCUAACGCAUUAAGUGCCCCGCCUGGGGAGUACGGCCGCAAGGCUAAAACUCAAAGGAAUUGACGGGGGCCCGCACAAGCGGCGGAGCAUGCGGAUUAAUUCGAUGCAACGCGAAGAACCUUACCAAGGCUUGACAUGAACCGGAAUGAUGCAGAGAUGUGUCAGCCACUUGUGGCCGGUUUACAGGUGGUGCAUGGUUGUCGUCAGCUCGUGUCGUGAGAUGUUGGGUUAAGUCCCGCAACGAGCGCAACCCUCGUUCCAUGUUGCCAGCGGGUUAUGCCGGGGACUCAUGGGAGACUGCCGGGGUCAACUCGGAGGAAGGUGGGGACGACGUCAAAUCAUCAUGCCCCUUAUGUCUUGGGCUUCACGCAUGCUACAAUGGCCGGUACAAAGGGUUGCGAUACUGUGAGGUGGAGCUAAUCCCAAAAAGCCGGUCUCAGUUCGGAUUGAGGUCUGCAACUCGACCUCAUGAAGUUGGAGUCGCUAGUAAUCGCAGAUCAGCAACGCUGCGGUGAAUACGUUCCCGGGCCUUGUACACA
rnacentral:rRNA from 1 species